rnacentral:rRNA from 1 species
GACGAACGCUGGCGGCGUGCUUAACACAUGCAAGUCGAACGGAAAGGCCCUGCUUUUGUGUGGUGCUCGAGUGGCGAACGGGUGAGUAACACGUGAGUAACCUGCCCUUGACUUUGUGAUAACUUCAGGAAACUGGGGCUACUACCUGCUAGGAGCUCCUGCUGCAUGGUGGGGGUUGGACAGUUUCGGCGGUUGGGGAUGGACUCGCGGCUUAUCAGCUUGUUGGUGGGGUAGUGGCUUACCCAGGCUUUGGCGGGUAGCCGGCCUGAGAGGGUGACCGGGCACAUUGGGACUGAGAUACGGCCCAGACUGCUACGGGAGGCAGCAGUGGGGAAUAUUGCACAAUGGGCGGAAGCCUGAUGCAGCAACGCCGCGUGCGGGAUGACGGCCUUCGGGUUGUAAACCGCUUUCGCCUGUGACGAAGCGGGAGUGACGGUAAUGGGUAAAGAAGCACCGGCUAACUACGUG